rnacentral:ncRNA from 10 species
GGUCGGGUAGCGCGUAGCCAUACAAGACCUUCGGGAAAAGCGCGUGGCCGUCUGAUAGCGGUGUUUAACUGCCCGACCGCCCUAAU